GCGACCAUGGUUUAAAAAUUUACUUUUGCUGUAAAACAGUUUUUUCAAUAUUAUUUUGAAUGUUUUUAAAGUCAAAAUUUAUGAUGUUAUAAAUUCAACACUUAAAACAAUAUUGAUUAAAAAAUAUAUUCCAAAAUCAUAAUCUAAAAGUUUACAAAUAAUGAAAUAGAGGUAAAUUAGAAGUCUUUAAGUUAAAAAAUAUUAAAUGGAAUUCAAAGAGAAGUAAUUUACCUAUUUAACUUUAACAUUAAUCCCUGUUUACCCUUUUUUCUCAAUAACUCCUUGGAAACUAAAGAGUUUCCUACAACUUGCAAUUGCAAUUGAAUCGUUCACUUUUAAUUAAAAUUUAUUUAUUUAUCAAUUUAUCAACUAUUAUUUACUUCCUUUUCACAUUCGCAUUCACAUAACACUACGUCUACAAAGUUAGAUACAUCCAGGGUUAAAGAAAGAGAGAGGGGCCUGGAGAGAGAGUGGACGGUCGCCGGCUACAUUACCCGGUGAUCAUCUAUUACUCAGGAGAUGACGACGAGGGUGAUGGGGGUAACAUCACCGCUCAAGGGUGACAUAUAGUGACGAUGGUGACGGUAGUUCGCCGGUGGUCAGCAGCCACAUCUUUGAGUGACGACUAGGGUUCCGAAGAACGAACCGGGUGAUGUGAUGGGGUAACGACUUCAGUCAAGGUAAGGUAACGGAGGAUCGAAGGUGGUAUACGAAGUGUCAUCCGCAUUUUCCGCCUGCUCUUCUCCUCUACUCCUCCGGCAAGGGACUCCUUAUCACUUUUCGAGGUGCGGUUGCUCUAUUCCCUGCUAUUUCUCUCAACUGGUAUGUUUUUUUUCUUUUGUCUUUAUCUGAUUUAGAGCUUCAUACGUCUUUAAUAAUUGGAUGGUUAUAAAAAAGUUUCAUGCAAAUAUAUGUAUUGAAUAUGGUUAUAUGCAAUUCCUUUAACUGUUUUAUGUAUUUUGGAAUGUUACUUUGAUGAGCAAUUACGGACCAUCUGAAAGAUAAAGAAAGGGUUCCGGCCACGAUUCUGACCGGAUGUCGAUUAUAUGGAGAUAGUCGUGCACGAUUAGUUGGUUUGUUUGUUUAAAUACUCAUAUACAUCUCGCCUCUGAUUGGGUUCAGAUCUUUUUUAUUCGUGUCAUAGGUCUGAUUGCAAGGGUUUUUUCUUUUCGUAUUCUGAUUUGGUUCAGGUACGUUUUUAUUUCCAGUUUGUUUAGUCGCAUUAUUUUGAGUUUUGAUAUAGAAAGAGUUCGUGGAAAUAAUAACAUAUUCGGUGGUGUUACAAAUGGAUAUUUUGCUUUCACUAAGGAACACCAGUAACCGUGUGGAUACAGGUGCAUUGCCUCCAUUUCAGUUCAGCUAUUUGAGAAAUAGGAAAUCAUUAUCUGAGUUUUGGCGGGAUUGUCCUAUUCUGGCUGAUAAUUCAAAGGAGCAUAAUUGCAUGCCUUAUGAACAUUAUACCGCAACAUUACUUGCACAAAAAGGCCUUGAAGGAGAACCCACAAAUAGGAGUUUAACUCACACUUCAUGGGUAUCUCAUCAAGCAAAGGUCGUGAAAGGCAAGGAUGGCAUCCUAUGACGGCCAAAUCUACAAAUUUGUUGUUGCUACUCCCAUUAUUCAUUCAGUGGUCUCAUUCACACUUGAUCACAAUAAGGUGGUUCAUGACGAGUGCCCACCUACCGAAUAAAAGAAGCAAACAAGAAACUACUAAGGGGAAGGGCGACUACAUGGGCAUGCAUUAGCGGCAGAAGAUUUCGUGAAUUAUUGAAUAAACCGGAAGCUUUAUGAACUCCUUUAAGUUUUUUUCCUGUAAUGUAUGUUUUUAGACUUGGCAUACAAGUUUGUUCUUAAACACAUUCCGCAAACAAAGUUUCCUAUGCUAUGCACGCCUUAAAUUUUGUGUGGCUGGCUUAUGGUACAAGCUCUUA